rnacentral:rRNA from 1 species
AGGUUGAACGCUGGCGGCAUGCCUUACACAUGCAAGUCGAACGGCAGCACGGGAGCAAUCCUGGUGGCGAGUGGCGAACGGGUGAGUAAUAUAUCGGAACGUGCCCAGUCGUGGGGGAUGACGCAGCGAAAGCUGUGCUAAUACCGCAUACGAUCUAUGGAUGAAAGCGGGGGAUCGCAAGACCUCGCGCGAUUGGAGCGGCCGAUAUCAGAUUAGCUAGUUGGUGGGUAAAGCCUACCAAGGCGACGAUCGUGUAGCUGGUCUGAGACGGACGACCAGCCACACUGGAACUGAGACACGGUCCAGACUCCGUACGGAAGCAGCGAGGUGGGAACUUUUGGACAAGUGGGCG